rnacentral:snRNA from 1 species
GGAUGUGAGGGCGAUCUGGCUGCGGCAUCCUGGCACACCACAUUGAUCGCGGGUUGAUUCUGGCUGAUCUGGCUGGCCUAGGUGGGUGUCGCUUCCUCCCUCCACCGCGUCCAUGUGCGUCCCUCCCCGAAGCUGCCUCUUGGUGGAAGAUGAGACCAUUCCCACUAGAGCGAGGAUGGGUCUUCAGUCAGGGUAUAAGAGUAGCUUCGCUCCCCUGCUAGAACUCCAAACAAGCUCUCAAGGUCCCAAAAUGUGGAAUUGACAGGCGUGAGCCACCACGCCCGGCAAAAUUAACUUUUAUUU